UACGGAGGGAGCUAGCGUUGUUCGGAAUUACUGGGCGUAAAGCGCACGUAGGCGGAUAUUUAAGUUAGGGGUGAAAUCCCAGGGCUCAACCCUGGAACUGCCCUUUAAUACUGGGUAUCUCGAGUCCGAGAGAGGUGAGUGGAAUUCCGAGUGUAGAGGUGAAAUUCGUAGAUAUUCGGAGGAACACCAGUGGCGAAGGCGGCUCACUGGCUCGGUACUGACGCUGAGGUGCGAAAGCGUGGGGAGCAAAGCA
rnacentral:rRNA from 1 species